rnacentral:rRNA from 1 species
ACAGAGGGUGCAAGCGUUAAUCGGAAUUACUGGGCGUAAAGGGUGCGUAGGUGGUUUGUUAAGUCAGGCGUGAAAUCCUCGGGCUCAACCUGGGAACUGCGCUUGAUACUGGCAGACUCGAGUGUGGUAGAGGAUAGUGGAAUUCCCGGUGUAGCGGUGAAAUGCGUAGAUAUCGGGAGGAACAUCAGUGGCGAAGGCGGCUAUCUGGACUAACACUGACACUGAGGCACGAAAGCGUGGGUAGCAAACAGGAUUAGAUACCCUGGUAGUCCACGCCCUAAACGAUGGGUACUAGACGUCGGGAAGCUUGUCUUCUUGGUGUCGCAGCUAACGCAAUAAGUACCCCGCCUGGGGAGUACGGUCGCAAGAUUA